UACGUAGGGUGCGAGCGUUAAUCGGAAUUACUGGGCGUAAAGCGUGCGUAGGUGGUUCGUUGUGUCUGUGGUGAAAGCCCCGGGCUUAACCUGGGAAUGGCCAUGGAAACUGGCGAGCUGGAGUCUGGCAGAGGGGGGUGGAAUUCCGCGUGUAGCAGUGAAAUGCGUAGAGAUGCGGAGGAACACCGAUGGCGAAGGCGGCCAACUGGACAGAUACUGACGCUGAGACACGAAAGCGUGGGGAGCAAACAGG
rnacentral:rRNA from 1 species